AUUGAACGCUGGCGGCAGGCCUAACACAUGCAAGUCGAACGAGUGGCGGACGGGUGAGUAAUGUCUGGGAAACUGCCUGAUGGAGGGGGAUAACUACUGGAAACGGUAGCUAAUACCGCAUACCAUCGGAUGUGCCCAGAUGGGAUUAGCUAGUAUGUGGGGUAAAGGCUUACCUAGGCGACGAUCCCUAGCUGGUCUGAGAGGAUGACCAGCCAAAAUGGAACUGAGACACGGUCCAGACUCCGACGGUAGGCAGCAGUGGGGAAUAGUGCACAAUGGGCGCAAGCCUGAUGCAGCCAUGCCGGGUGUAUGAAGAAGGCCUUCGGGUUGUAAAGUACUUUCAGCGGGGAGGCGUUACCCGCAGAAGAAGCACCGGCUAACACCGUGCCAGCAGCCGCGGUAAUUC
rnacentral:rRNA from 1 species